GGACCGUGUACAAGUCUCCUGGGAUGGAGCAUCAUAGAGGGUGAGAAUCCCGUCUCUGAUACGGACUACCAGUGCAUUGUGGUAUGCUCUCAACGAGUCGAGUUGUUUGGGAAUGCAGCUCAAAAUGGGUGGUAAAUUCCAUCUAAAGCUAAAUAUUGGCGAGAGACCGAUAGCGAACAAGUACCGUGAGGGAAAGAUGAAAAGAACUUUGGAAAGAGAGUUAAACAGUACGUGAAAUUGCUGAAAGGGAAACGCUUGAAGUCAGUCGCGUCUACCAGGAAUCAGCCUCGCUUCUGCGUGGUGUACUUUCUGGUUGACGGGUCAGCAUCAAUUUUGACUGCUGGAAAAAGGUGUGAGGAAUGUGGCAGCUCCGGCUGUGUUAUAGCCUCAUGUCGUAUACAGCGGUUGGGAUUGAGGAACGCAGCACGCCGCAAGGCCGGGUCUUCGGACUACGUUCGUGCUUAGGAUGCUGGCAUAAUGGCUUUAAGCGACCCGUCUUGAAACACGGACCAAGGAGUGUAACAUGCCUGCGAGUGUUUGGGUGGAAAACUCGAGCGYGUAAUGAAAGUGAAAGUUGAGAUCCCUGUCGUGGGGAGCAUCGACGCCCGGACCAGAACUUUUGGGACGGAUCCGCGGUAGAGCAUGUAUGUUGGGACCCGAAAGAUGGUGAACUAUGCCUGAAUAGGGUGAAGCCAGAGGAAACUCUGGUGGAGGCUCGUAGCGGUUCUGACGUGCAAAUCGAUCGU
rnacentral:rRNA from 2 species